rnacentral:rRNA from 1 species
AGCCUGCCCAGUGACAAAGUUCAACGGCCGCGGUACCCUAACCGUGCGAAGGUAGCAUAAUCACUUGUUCUUUAAAUGAGGACUCGUAUCAACGGCACUACGAGGGCUAUACUGUCUCCUUUUUCUAAUCAGUGAAACUGAUCUCCCCGUGAAGAAGCGGGGAUCAAAAUAUAAGACGAGAAGACCCCAUGGAGCUUUAAACUCACUAUACACCUCUGUGCCUUUAUGUCACUAGACACAAGAGAUCUGCGUACUAGUUUUAGGUUGGGGGGACCACGGAGUAUAAUUUAACCUCCAUAACAAAUGGGCUAACACCCUUAUCUACGAGACACAACUCUAAGAAUUACUAAACUAAUGCUUAUGACCCGAUAUUCGAUCAAUGAACCAAGUUACCCUGGGGAUAACAGCGCAAUCUACUUCAAGAGCCCAUAUCGACAAGUGGGUUUACGACCUCGAUGUUGGAUCAGGGUAUCCCGGUGGUGCAGCCGCUACCGACGGUUCGUUUGUUCAACGAUUAAAACCCUACGUGAUCU